rnacentral:rRNA from 1 species
AUCUGGGGUGCAUUUCCCAAAACCAUCAGUCCACUAAAGCUAAGCAGGGCUGCGCCCGGUCAGUACCUGGAUGGGAGACCACAUGGGAAAGCUAGGUUGCUGCUGGAA